CAGCUAGUUGGUGAGGUAACGGCUCACCAAGGCGACGAUCAGUAGCUGGUCUGAGAGGAUGAUCAGCCACAUUGGGACUGAGACACGGCCCAAACUCCUACGGGAGGCAGCAGUGGGGAAUAUUGGACAAUGGGCGCAAGCCUGAUCCAGCCAUGCCGCGUGAGUGAUGAAGGCCCUAGGGUUGUAAAGCUCUUUUGUGCGGGAAGAUAAUGACGGUACCGCAAGAAUAAGCCCCGGCUAACUUCGUGCCAGCAGCCGCGGUAAUACGAAGGGGGCUAGCGUUGCUCGGAAUCACUGGGCGUAAAGGGUGCGUAGGCGGGUCUUUAAGUCAGGGGUGAAAUCCUGGAGCUCAACUCCAGAGCUGCCUUUGAUACUGAGGAUCUUGAGUAUGGGAGAGGUGAGUGGAACUGCGAGUGUA
rnacentral:rRNA from 1 species